rnacentral:rRNA from 1 species
CAUGCAAGUCGAGCGGACCGACGGGAGCUUGCUCCCUUAGGUCAGCGGCGGACGGGUGAGUAACACGUGGGUAACCUGCCUGUAAGACUGGGAUAACUCCGGGAAACCGGGGCUAAUACCGGAUGCUUGAUUGAACCGCAUGGUUCAAUCAUAAAAGGUGGCUUUCAGCUACCACUUACAGAUGGACCCGCGGCGCAUUAGCUAGUUGGUGAGGUAACGGCUCACCAAGGCGACGAUGCGUAGCCGACCUGAGAGGGUGAUCGGCCACACUGGGACUGAGACACGGCCCAGACUCCUACGGGAGGCAGCAGUAGGGAAUCUUCCGCAAUGGACGAAAGUCUGACGGAGCAACGCCGCGUGAGUGAUGAAGGUUUUCGGAUCGUAAAACUCUGUUGUUAGGGAAGAACAAGUACCGUUCGAAUAGGGCGGCACCUUGACGGUACCUAACCAGAAAGCCACGGCUAACUACGUGCCAGCAGCCGCGGUAAUACGUAGGUGGCAAGCGUUGUCCGGAAUUAUUGGGCGUAAAGCGCGCGCAGGCGGUUUCUUAAGUCUGAUGUGAAAGCCCCCGGCUCAACCGGGGAGGGUCAUUGGAAACUGGGGAACUUGAGUGCAGAAGAGGAGAGUGGAAUUCCACGUGUAGCGGUGAAAUGCGUAGAGAUGUGGAGGAACACCAGUGGCGAAGGCGACUCUCUGGUC